rnacentral:rRNA from 1 species
UUUAAUUUCAACGGCCGCGGUAUCCUAACCGUGCAAAGGUAGCAUAAUCACUUGCCCAUUAAUUGUGGGCUAGAAUGAAUGGAUUAACGAAAUACUAACUGUCUCUAUAUAUAAAAUAAAAAUUAACCUCUAACUGAAGAUUGUUAGAUUAAAUUGAAGGACAAGAAGACCCUAUAGAGCUUUAUUUUAAUUUGUCACACCUACAUCUAUAAAUUCGGUUGGGGCGACCAGGGAAAAAUUUUAUCAUCCCUAAAACCAAGAUUUUUAUAUCUACUUAUAUGACCCUUCUAAGAUCUAAAAAACAAGCUACCUUAGGGAUAACAGGCUAAUCCUAUUAAAGAGUCCUUAUCUAUAAUAGGGAUUGGCACCUCGAUGUUGGCUUAGGGAAUCUAUGUAGCGCAAAAGCCAUAUAAAGAUGGUUUGUUCAACCAGUAACACCCUACAUGAGCUGAGUUCAGACCGGCGUAAGCCAGGUUAGUUUCUAUCCUCAAUAACAAUCUUAUUUAUAGUACGAAAGGAUCUAAAUAAAAUAAAAUUUAUAACUUAAGAACCCAUAUAAUAUAACCUUAUCUUCAUAAAUUAUUUAAAAUA